rnacentral:rRNA from 1 species
GCUCUACGUCUUUUUACACACCCCAAUAGUAUGAUGCAGAAUGUAGUCAAUGGGCUUCUCAGCCUAUAAAACACUAUACAACUUUCAGCAACGGAUCUCUUGGCUCUCGCAUCGAUGAAGAACGCAGCGAAAUGCGAUAAGUAAUGUGAAUUGCAGAAUUCAGUGAAUCAUCGAAUCUUUGAACGCACCUUGCGCUCCUUGGUAUUCCGAGGAGCAUGCCUGUUUGAGUGUCAUUAAAUUCUCAACCUCACCAGUUUUCUGAACUGACUGAGGCUUGGAUGUGGGGGUUUGUGCAAGCUGCCUCACCGGCGGUCUGCUCCCCUGAAAUGCAUUACCGAGGUUCAUGCUGGACCUCCGUCUAUUGGUGUGAUAAUUAUCUACUCCGUGGACGACGAUACUGACUCGCUUCUAACCGUCCGCAAGGAAAAUACCUUGAUA